UGCCAAUGUCUGGCUGUGUCUCCGCUUCC
rnacentral:piRNA from 1 species